rnacentral:rRNA from 1 species
AUUGAACGCUGGCGGCGUGCUUAACACAUGCAAGUCGAUCGGUAACGCGGGGGCAACCCUGGCGACGAAAGGCGGACGGGUGAGGAACGCUUGGGAAUCUGCCUAUCAGCGGGGGACAACACGGGGAAACUCGUGCUAAUACCGCAUACGCUCUACGGAGGAAAGCCGGGGACCGCAAGGCCUGGCACUGAUAGAUGAGCCCAAGCCGGAUUAGCUAGUUGGCGGGGUAACGGCACACCAAGGCGACGAUCCGUAGCUGGUCUGAGAGGACGAUACGCCACACUGGGAAUGAGACACGGCCCAGACUCCUACGUGAGGCAGCAGUGGGAAAUAUUGGACAAUGGGGGAAACCCUGAUCCAGCGACGCCGCGUGGGUGAAGAAGGCCUGCGGGUUGUAAAGCCCUUUCGGUAGGGACGAAAGCUCGCGACCUAACACGUCGGGAGGUUGACUUAACCUACAAAAGAAGCACCGGCUAACUCUGUGCCAGCCGCCGCGGUAAAAC